CCCCCAGACUCCUACGGGAGGCAGCAGUGAGGAAUAUUGGUCAAUGGGCGCGAGCCUGAACCAGCCAAGUCGCGUGAGGGAUGACGGCCCUACGGGUUGUAAACCUCUUUUGUCGGGGAGCAAAUUCCGCCACGUGUGGCGGAGUCGAGAGUACCCGAAGAAAAAGCAUCGGCUAACUCCGUGCCAGCAGCCGCGGUAAUACGGAGGAUGCGAGCGUUAUCCGGAUUUAUUGGGUUUAAAGGGUGCGUAGGCGGACUGUCAAGUCAGCGGUAAAAUACGGGGGCUCAACCCCGUCCGGCCGUUGAAACUGGGGGCCUUGAGUGGGCGAGAAGAAGGCGGAAUGCGUGGUGUAGCGGUGAAAUGCAUAGAUAUCACGCAGAACCCCGAUUGCGAAGGCAGCCUUCCGGCGCCCUACUGACGCUGAGGCACGAAAGUGCGGGGAUCGAACAGGAUUAGAUACCCUAGUA
rnacentral:rRNA from 1 species